rnacentral:lncRNA from 1 species
AUUAUACACACAUGUAAUACCUUGCUAUGUCAGCUGAAGGUGCCUAGAAACAAUGACACUCCAGCAGCAAUGAGCACUCCUGGUAUCCAGAUCUUGGUUUCUAAUACCAUUCUCCAGGAAAAGAAGAAAUGGCUGAUUCUAGAAGUUGGACAAGAAGUACAAGCAUGGAACAUCUUGUAUUGUCAUCAGUUAAGGAAUUGCUAAAGAAAAAACAAACCCAUAAAUAUACACUUGUGCGCAUACACAAACACACACACACACACACACACACACACACACACACACACACACCACAGUGAUAGGGAUUAUGUCAAAGGGAGACAGGAGCCAACUGAAAGAUCUCCCAAUGGUCAAAACUAGAGUAGUGUGGGCAACAAGUAAAUAAAGUAGUAUUGGAUUAUAACCCAAAGUAUAAAAAAGUAUUUGUGAUUUCAUACCAAUAUAAAUAAAUGAUUCAGUAAACUAUAUGAGCUGAGAGAAUGGGUAGCCAAACCUUUAGAAGGGUGAGAGUAAAAACAGGUAUCAGUGGUUCCUCAGAAAGAGGGAGCAUCAUGAGAAACAGUAUAGGAAAACAUGAAAUAUGUGGAUGAUUUUGUUUGAUUGAAGAGAGAGUAAAAAGGAGAGAGGAAGGAAGUGAAGGAAGGAAGGCAGAGAAGGAAGGCAGAACAGGGCGGGCUGCACCUUCCUUCUAACAACACGGCAGUGGGCUGGGAAGGGCCUGCUGCAGGUAACGCCCGAUGUCCUUCCAGAACUCUGGCUCUGGGGAAGGCUGAGGAGAAAGAGAACAAAGGCUGGGGGAGCCGAUUUAGGAUUUGGGGGAGGGCGUGUGAAGGAAACUCCAGAGCUCCCGGGUCUGCUCUGCAAUAUGAACAAGAAAGAAGCCGGAAGCCAGUUUAAGUUGGGGACAGAAACAAGAUCACUCAGAGAGAUUCCAGCUAUGGGUCUACUGGCCAAAGGGGUCAGAGUUCAGAAAACCAAUGUGGAGGGGAGAGAGAAUGUCCAAGACGAGAGUAAAAUGGCCUAAAAGGGAGAUGAAGAACAUAA